rnacentral:pre_miRNA from 1 species
AUACAAUUCACUCGGGGAUCUUAUUAAAAACCAGAUUCUGAUUCAGUAGUUCUGGGGUGGAUCUGAGAGUCUGCAUUUGUUAUAAGCUCCCAAGUGAUAUUUAU